rnacentral:tRNA from 1 species
GGCGGUGUAGCUCAGUUGGCUAGAGCAUGCGGUUCAUACCCGCAGAGUCGACAGUUCGAGUCUGUCCGCCGCCACCA